rnacentral:ncRNA from 1 species
GCAAGCAGUAACAACGAACCCACAGAAGUCAGCAGAAGCCAUAGUAUCCGUCGCCUUAAAGCUCGUAGUCGACGGGGAAGGGC